rnacentral:tRNA from 1 species
UGGCUCAGUUGGUAGAGCAUGGCGCUUGCAAUGCCAGGGUUGUGGGUUUGAUUCCCAU